UGAAAACUGAAUUCCAUGGACUG
rnacentral:piRNA from 1 species